rnacentral:rRNA from 1 species
UACGUAGGGGGCAAGCGUUGUCCGGAUUUAUUGGGCGUAAAGAGCGUGUAGGCGGCCAGGUAGGUCUGCUGUGAAAACUCGAGGCUCAACCUCGAGAUGUCAUCGGAAACCAUUUGGCUAGAGUCCGGAAGAGGAAAGUGGAAUUCCUGGUGUAGCGGUGAAAUGCGCAGAUAUCAGGAAGAACACCAAUGGCGAAAGCAGCUUUCUGGGACGGUACUGACGCUGAGACGCGAAAGCGUGGGGAGCGAACAGG